AGUAUGCUUGCAGAAAAACUCUAGCAGACAGCCGGCCCCGAGUGCGUGGAAGAUUUGCCAGAAAUGAUGAACUCGGAGAGGUGGCAAGACAGAGAUCAUCGAGUGCCAAUGAAUUCGACGACGAUGAAGAAAUGGUGGUGAAAGGAGAAGGCAUCCUCGACUCCUCUAACAUCCUCGCACAUAUCAAUGGAGUCAAUUCGUUCAACUACAACUACACUCUUGAGUCUUGGAUUUGACUGAGGAAGAACAGAAUCAUUCAUCAUGCACUAUUCAUCAUUCGCUAGCUUAAUUAGUUUCCUUGGGUGGUCCAAGUUUCAACCCCAAGAUUAUUUGUAUCCCUGCAUUCGAAUAAUUUGGAGUUGAAGGUAGAUAGGAGGAAAAAAACAAUGGAGAUUCAUGUACACUUCUGAAAAUCUAAGCACUUUGAUGACAGAAUUUACACAAUCUAGUUUUGUCUU